AACUAGUUUAUAGCUCAAAUAUAUAAAAUAUUAAACUAUUUAUGUGAACAAAACCAAAACAUUUAAUUAUUAAAGUAUAGGCGAUAGAAAUUAUAAUUUUUUGACGCUAUAGAGAAAGUACCGUGAGGGAAUAGUGAAAGAAAAUCAUAAGUAAAAAAUAGCAAAGCUUAACGCUUGUACCUUUUGCAUAAUGAUUCAACUAGAAAUAUUUAGCAAAAAGAAAUAAAGUUAAAUGACCCGAAACCAGACGAGCUACCUGAUAGCAGUCUUUUAAGGGCGAACUCAUCUAUGUGACAAAAUAGUGAGAUGACUAACAGGUAGGGGCGACAAACCUACCGAGCCUGGUGAUAGCUGGUUGUCCAGGGCAGAAUUUCAGUUCUAACUUAACCUUACUAAACAAACAAAUUAAUUCUAGUGUAAGCUUAAGUCAUAAUCUAAAAAGGUACAGCUUUUUAGAUAAAAGAUACAACCCCCAAUAGAGAAUAAAUUUUAAUAAACCACAAUAGUUGGCUUAAAAGCAGCCAUCAACUAAGAAAGCGUUCAAGCCCAAUAGUAUAAAAAUUUAAUUUCCCAAUAAAUAAUAAUUCCUAAUAUACAACUGGACUAUUCUAUUUUUCAAUAGAAGAAAUAAUGUUGAUAUGAGUAACAAGAAAAAAUUUCUCCCCGCACAUAUGUAUGUCAUAAUGAAUAAAUCACUGACAAUUACCAAUUCAAGCAUUAUUAAUCACUUAAUUCCUUAAAAUUAAUUGUUAAACCAACACAGGAGUGCGAAACUAAGGGAAAGAUUGAAAGAAGUAAAAGGAAUUCAGCAAAUAUUAAACCUCGCCUGUUUACCAAAAACAUCACCUCUAGCAUAAAAAGUAUUAGAGGCAUUGCCUGCCCAGUGACUUCAGUUUAACGGCCGCGGUAUCCUGACCGUGCAAAGGUAGCAUAAUCAUUUGUUCUCUAAAUAGGGACUUGUAUGAAUGGCUCCACGAAGGUUUUGCUGUCUCUUACUUCUGAUCAGUGAAAUUGAUAUCUCCGUGAAGAGGCGGAGAUGAAAAAAUAAGACGAGAAGACCCUAUGGAGCUUUAAUUACCUAAUUCACAUAAAAAUUUUAACAUCUUCAUAAGAAAUAACCAAACAAUGUUGAAUUAGCAAUUUAAGUUGGGGUGACUUCGGAAUAAAAUUAAACUUCCGAGAAAAUUUUAUUAAGACCUACUAGUCAAAAUUAUACCAUUCAACACUGAUCCUUCAUUGACGACCAACGAAACAAGUUACCCUAGGGAUAACAGCGCAAUCCUAUUCAAGAGUCCAUAUCGACAAUUAGGGUUUACGACCUCGAUGUUGGAUCAGGACAUCCCAAUGGUGCAGCAGCUAUUAAUGUGUUCGUUUGUUCAACGAUUAAAGUCCUACGUGAUCUGAGUUCAGACCGGAGUAAUCCAGGUCGGUUUCUAUCUAUUUAUAGUUCCUCCCAGUACGAAAGGACAAGAGAAACAAAGCCUACUUAUUAUAAGCGCUCUAAUAAAAUAAAUGAAUUAAUCUUAAUUUAAUUAUACCAAUAAUUACAUAAGAAAAAUGUAUAUUGAUUAAAGUGGCAGAGUCCGGAAUUGCAAA
rnacentral:rRNA from 1 species